UGCCUUAGUAACGGCGAGUGAAGCGGCAACAGCUCAAAUUUGAAAGCUGGCCCUUUUAGGGUCCGCGUUGUAAUUUGUAGAGGAUGAUUCGGCGAGGGCUCCUGCCUAAGUCCCCUGGAACGGGGCGUCAUAGAGGGUGAGAAUCCCGUAUGCGGUAGGUUGCCUUAGCCAUGUGAAUCUCCUUCGACGAGUCGAGUUGUUUGGGAAUGCAGCUCUAAAUGGGAGGUAAAUUUCUUCUAAAGCUAAAUACUGGCCAGAGACCGAUAGCGCACAAGUAGAGUGAUCGAAAGAUGAAAAGCACUUUGGAAAGAGAGUUAAAAAGUACGUGAAAUUGUUGAAAGGGAAGCGCUUGCAACCAGACUUGUCCGCAGUUGCUCAGCCGGUCUCCUGACCGGCGUACUCUUCUGCGGCCAGGCCAGCAUCAGUUCGGGCGGUCGGAUAAAGGCCUCGGGAAUGUAGCUCCUCUCGGGGAGUGUUAUAGCCCGGGGUGGAAUGCGACCAGCCUGGACUGAGGAUCUCGCUUCGGCAAGGAUGCUGGCGUAAUGGUUGUAAGCGGCCCGUCUUGAAACACGGACCAAGGAGUCUAACAUCUAUGCGAGUGUUCGGGUGUCAAACCCGUACGCGUAAUGAAAGUGAACGGAGGUGGGAACCCGCAAGGGUGCACCAUCGGCCGAUCCUGAUGUCUUCGGAUGGAUUUGAGCAAGAGCAUAGCUGUUGGGACCCGAAAGAUGGUGAACUAUGCCUGAAUAGGGUGAAGCCAGAGGAAACU
rnacentral:rRNA from 1 species